rnacentral:rRNA from 1 species
AGUUUUUAACUCAAGUGGCGGACGGGUGAGUAACACGUAAGAAUUUGCCUUUAGGAGGGGGACAAGGAUAACAUCUGAGAAAUACCCCAUAUGCUUUCGAGUGAAAUGGAUUUUACCGCCUAGAGAGAAGCUUGCGGCUGAUUAGCUUGUUGGUAAGGUAAUGGCUUACCAAGGCGACGAUCAGUAUCUGGUUUGAGAGGACGAUCAGACACACUGGAACUGAGACACGGCCCAG